rnacentral:rRNA from 1 species
GACGAACGCUGGCGGCGUGCUUAACACAUGCAAGUCGAACGGAAAGGCCCUGCUUUUGUGGGGUGCUCGAGUGGCGAACGGGUGAGUAACACGUGAGUAACCUGCCCUUUACUUUGUUAUAACUUCAGGAAACUGGGGCUAAUACCGGAUAGGAGCUCCUGCUGCAUGGUGGGGGUUGGAAAUUUUCGGCGGUUGGGGAUGGACUCGCGGCUUAUCAGCUUGUUGGUGGGGUAGUGGCUUACCAAGGCUUUGACGGGUAGCCGGCCUGAGAGGGUGACCGGAGACAAUGGGACUGAGAUAAGGACCAGAGUGCUACGGGAGGCAGCAGUGGGGAAUAUUGCAAAAUGGGCGGAAGCCUGAUGAAGAAACGCCGCGUGCGGGAUGACGGCCUUCGGGGUGUAAACAGCUUUAGCCUGUGACGAAGCGUGAGUGACGGUAAUGGGUAAAGAAGCACCGGCUAACUACGUG